GGUUUGAUUCUGGCCUGCAUUGAACGCUGGCGGGAUGCUUUACACAUGCAAGUCGAACGGCAGCACGGACUUCGGUCUGGUGGCGAGUGGCGAACGGGUGAGUACUGUAUCGGAACGUGCCUAGUAGCGGGGAUAAUUCACGCGAAAGCGUAGCUAAUACUGCACACGCGCCCUUCGGGGAAAGUGGGGACCUUCGGGCCUCGCACUAUUAGAGCGGCUGAUAUCGGAUUAGCUAGUUGGUGGGGUGUAACGGCUCACCAAGGCGACGAUCCGUAGUCGGAGAGGACGACCAGCCACACUGGGACUGGUACGGCCCAGACUCCUACGGGAGGCAGUGGGGAAUUUUGGGCCAAUGGGGAACCUUGAUCCAGCCAUCCCGCGUGUGCGAUGAAGGCCUUCGGGUUGCAAAGCACUUUUGGCAGGAGAAGAAACGGCAUGGGAUAAUACCUCGUGCAACUGACGGUACCUGCAGGCAAUAAGCACCGGCUAACACGCCAGCAGCCGCACACGUAAAAAGAACGGAAUUACUGGGCGUAAGUGCAAGUGCAGGCGGUUCGGAAGAAAGGGAUGUGAAACCUGUUUAACUUUGGUCCUGGGAUUUUUAACUGAGCUAGAGUGUGUCAGAGGGAGGUAAUUCCGCGUAGCAGUGAAUGCGUAGAUAUGCGGAGGAAUACCGACAAGAAGGCAGCUCUCCUGGGAUAACACUGACGCUCAUGCACGAAAGCGUGGGAAGCAAACAGGAUUAUUAUCCGGUAGUCCACGCCCUAAACGAUGUCAAUCUUAAAUGUAAAUGGGCUUGGCAGCGCAGCUAACGCGUGAAGUUGACCGCCUGGGGAGUACGGUCGCAAGAUUAAAACUCAAAGGAAUUGACGGGGACUCGCACAAGCGGUGGAUGAUGUGGAUUAAUUCGAUGCACAAAACCUUACCCACUGACAUGUCUGGAAAUCCUGAAGAGAUUUGGGAGUACUGCAAGAGAACCGGAACACAGGUGCUGCAUGGCUGUCGUCAGCUCGUGUCGUGAGAUGUUGGGUUGCUCGGCAACGAGCGCGCAACCCUUGGUCAUGGUUGCUACGAAAGGGCACUCUAAUGAGACUGCCGGUGACAAACCGGAGGAAGGUGGGGAUGACGUCAAGUCCUCAUGGCCCUUAUGGGUAGGGUCACACGUCAUACACGGUCGGGACAGAGACGCUAACCCGCGAGGGGGAGCUGCAAUCCCAGAAACCAAUUGUGUCCGGAUCGCAGUCUGCAACUUCGACUGCGUGAAGUCGGAAUCGCUAGUAAUCGCGGAUCAGCAUGGUGUCGCGUGAAUACGUCUCAGUCUUGUACACACCGCCCGUCACACCAUGGGAGUGGUUCACCGUAUGUUAGCCUAACCGUAAGGAGGGCGAUUGGUCGUGAGAGAUCACGACUGGGGUGAAGUCGUAACAAGGUAA
rnacentral:rRNA from 1 species